ACCACCACCGGAAUUACUUCCGACGAAAUUGAAACGGCGUCGGAGAAGAAUAUUAUUAUUCAUACCACAGAGAGAGACGAAGGUGUAAUACCCGUAAUUACAUUAACUUCAUGACGAGCGGUCCAUGUAAAUUCUGUUAACCUAAUUCAGUUAUAAGUAGAAUGCCUGUUUCUUUAUUUACAUGAAUUUCUAAUUCAUAUAUGCAUAUACGUGUUCAUGUAUGUACUAACCCGUUUAUAUUGGUUCAAUUUAUAUGUAUCUAUAUCUCUGUUUUCAACCUAAUAAAUCCAAAUUGGGGGUAGUAUCACAAAGCAUUUUCAUGUUUCUUAAUUCAGAAGCUGUGGAUAUAUGACGUGGUUCACCUCACCGAGCUGUGGAUACAAGAUUGUUUGCGUAUUGACUCACACAUCCUGACCUUUGUUGAAAUUAAAUUAAUUGUGUCUGUGAUCACCAACAACCUUGGGCUAUAGAAUUUCAUCUUGUUAAAAUGUCUUUUUAUCAUAGACCGUCCAAGUAUAGAUGGAAACCGAAAUCUUGAAGAAAGGUGUAAUGGAAGAGGCUCCCACUAUAGUCUGCAGGCCCAUCAUCUCUCAUAUCCCCUACAUCAACACAAGAGACUCUUUCAAUAUGCAUAAAUUAAAUAUUUUGUUUUGUUUUCAUCCAGGCAGCAAAUUUUAAGGCAUGACAAACGGUUUAUUUGGAAAAAUAUGUGAUAUAUGUAAUGCCUUCUUUUAACUUCCCUUCACGAAUUCCUUAUUGGACUGAAUGAGGAAUGAGAGUAUAGUGGUUUCUAAUAAUCCUUGACUGCUUACUACUUGAGAGUGGGACCAAAAAAGGAACUUGUAACACCUUUUGUCAUAGAUUAAUACAAAGCUAAAUAGCAGAGUACAACAAAACAACCAACAUUCAAUGAAGCAGUUAAACUUAUUUUCUACAAACGAAUCUGCAAGUUGUACUCCAAUACUUCCAAGCCAACUUACAAAAUGUGGUUGACACUGUGAAAAGGUAAGAGUUACUUCAUAUUAUGCCAUUUUUCUAAGUGUAUAGUGCACGAUUUGUUCUUAUUGUUUUGUCAAAGCUACCGAUUUUAUUCUCAUUUUAAAACUUACA